rnacentral:rRNA from 1 species
UUUGAAGAAGGCGACUUNGUAGCUGGUCNUNNUCUAUGUUCCUUGGAACAGGACGUCAUAGAGGGUGAGAAUCCCGUGUGGCGAGGAUCCCAGUUAUUUGUAAAGUGCUUUCGACGAGUCGAGUUGUUUGGGAAUGCAGCUCUAAGUGGGUGGUAAAUUCCAUCUAAAGCUAAAUAUUGGCGAGAGACCGAUAGCGAACAAGUACAGUGAUGGAAAGAUGAAAAGAACUUUGAAAAGAGAGUGAAAAAGUACGUGAAAUUGUUGAAAGGGAAGGGCAUUUGAUCAGACAUGGCGUUUGCUUCGGCUUUCGCUGGGCCAGCAUCAGUUUUAGCGGUUGGAUAAAUCCUCGGGAAUGUGGCUCUGCUUCGGUAGAGUGUUAUAGCCCGUGGGAAUACAGCCAGCUGGGACUGAGGA